GGUGUGAGACUGUAUGAUGGGAGGGGUAGAGUAGGGGUGUGAGACUGUAUGAUGGGAGGGGUAGAGUAGGCGGUGUGAGACUGUAAUGAUGGGAGGGGUAGAGUAGGGGGUGUGAGACUGUAUGAUGGGAGGGGUAGAGUAGGGGGUGUGAGACUGUAUGAUGGGAGGGGUAGAGUAGGGGGUGUGAGACUGUAAUGAUGGGAGGGGUAGAGUAGGGGGUGUGAGACUGUAAUGAUAGGAGGGGUAGAGUAGGUGGUGUGAGACUGUAAUGAUGGGAGGGGUAGAGUAGGGGGUGUGAGACUGUAUGAUGGGAGGGGUAGAGUAGGGGGUGUGAGACUGUAUGAUGGGAGGGGUAGAGUAGGGGGUGUGAGACUGUAAUGAUGGGAGGGGUAGAGUAGGGGAUGUGAGACUGUAUGAUGGGAGGGGUAGAGUAGGGGGUGUGAGACUGUAUGAUGGGAGGGGUAGAGUAGGGGGUGUGAGACUGUAUGAUGGGAGGGGUAGAGUAGGGGGGGUGAGACUGUAUGAUGGGAGGGGUAGAGGGUGCGGUGUGAGACUGUAAUGAUGGGAGGGGUAGAGUAGGCGGUGUGAGACUGUAUGAUGGGAGGGGUAGAGUAGGCGGUGUGAGACUGUAAUGAUGGGAGGGGUAGAGAGGGGGUGUGAGACUGUAUGAUGGGAGGGGUAGAGUAGGGGUGUGAGACUGUAUGAUGGGAGGGGUAGAGUAGGGGGUGUGAGACUGUAUGAUGGGAGGGGUAGAGUAGGCGGUGUGAGACUGUAUGAUGGGAGGGGUAGAGUAGGCGGUGUGAGACUGUAAUGAUGGGAGGGGUAGAGUAGGGGGUGUGAGACUGUAUGAUGGGAGGGGUAGAGUAGGGGGUGUGAGACUGUAUGAUGGGAGGGAUAGAGUAGAGGGUGUGAUACUGUCUGAUGGGAG
ensembl:lncRNA